rnacentral:tRNA from 1 species
GCGGAUGUAGUUUAAUGGUAAAAUACCGGCUUCCCAAGCUGGUAAUACGGGUUCGAUUCCCGUCGUCCGCU